rnacentral:lncRNA from 1 species
UAACAUGGUACAGGGUUUGAAUGAAGGCGAAAGAUCGUGUAAGUGGGAGAGAAUGGGGAGGGCAAGGACAGGUUCCAAAGACCUCUUACCGUUAGUGCUGGAUCAUGAGGCAUAGCCGCUGCUGGGAAUCCCUGCCCUGUGUUGCUCUUUCUCACGACACUGUCCUUUUCUUCCUUAGCAGUUGCUCACAAUCAGUACCUCUAUAUUUACCGGCAUGUUUAUUUAUUUAGUGGUCUACCUCACCAGGCUGUAGAUUUCCUGAGGUGGGCCACAUGGGCCACUCCGACUUGUUCCCUGUGGUAUUCCCAGCACAAAGCCCAGUGCCUGGUGUGUAGUAUGCAGUCAACAAAAAUCUGUUGAAUGAAUAAAUGAAUGAUUAGGUGAUUCAUAAAUAGCAAUAGAUGCCAUUACUGAAUGUCUAUUAGGUAACACAUACUGUGGUAGUAAGCGUGUAGAUGAUCAAAUUUAAUACAUUCAACAAUACCAGGUAAAUUUUAUUAUAUCAGCUUUAUAGAAGAAUGGAGGACUAGAAAAGAUCAGUAAUUUGCCCAAUGUCAUACCACAAGUACCUGGCUAAAGCCAUACCCACGUAGGUCUAACUCCAACGUCCGUGCUGUGAAUCACUGCAUAAUAGUGCCUCCCAUUUAUUGAGUGUGUACUAUGUGCCAGUCAUUUGGAACCACUUGACCUCACUUCAUUUUCUCACUUACUUCUAGCAACAAGUCUAUGAGUUAGAUGUUAUGAGCCUCAUUUAAUAGAUGAGAAAACAGAUUCCGAGAUGUUUAUUCAUUCACUCAACACAUAUUUCUUUUCUGUCUAGCAAUUGCCAGGCACUUCCUCCUGAAGAUAAAAUGGUGAGACAAGUAGACAUCAUCCCUGCCCAUGUGGAGCUUACGGUCCAGUGCGGGAGGCAGGCUGUGAUCAGAUGUGCAACGACAAGCUAAGUGAGAAGUGCUAUGAGGGGAAGUCCGAGGUGUCACAUGCAGACCCCACAGCUUCCAGUCAGAAGAGCAGACUUGUGAAGACUCCUGCAGUGGAAACGGAUUCACCUCUGGCUCCGGCUCCAGUUACUGAACUUCUCGCACAGACUGGUGCACCAGUGCCCUUGGCAUUGCCUUUGUUGAUCUGGCUGGGCCACAGUACCUUUGGUAUGCUGAUAAUGGGUAAUCCUGCGCUGUUUUCGCAUUAGAGUUUAAGAUGUGACUACCUUGUUUUUCUCUUCUACAUUUUACUGAUAAAUUAGCCAUCAGAAUGCCCUGCCAUGAAUUCAAGUUCUGUUUUCUUUGUGUUCCCGGACUCAGUUGGUAGCAUACAAGAGCUCUAAUAACACUCUUAACUAGUUUCACUUCAGAGCAAUUAUAUCUUUUUAGCAUUCCAAGCUAUGGUUAAAUUCUCCCAAACAUAACACAGGGACAAGGAACAUAUAUUAUCUCCCUAGGUUCUCCUUGGUCCAUACAUCUAUUUUAUCACAUGCCCAAAGGAGCUUUUAGUGCAGAAUAUUUAGAAAAUAUCUAAAUAGUUCAGGAUAAACUGUUCAAAAUAAGACCAUGGAGCUUUAAAUUAAACAAAACAUGACGUUAUGCUACUGUUAUUAUUUGUUUCUUGAGCUUAAUAAAGAAAUGAAUGAUAGCUCA